rnacentral:rRNA from 1 species
GUAACGGGGCUAAACCAUGCACCGAAGCUGCGGCAGCGACACUAUGUGUUGUUGGGUAGGGGAGCGUUCUGUAAGCCGUUGAAGGUGGCCUGUGAGGGUUGCUGGAGGUAUCAGAAGUGCGAAUGCUGACAUAAGUAACGAUAAAGCGGGUGAAAAGCCCGCUCGCCGGAAGACCAAGGGUUCCUGUCCAACGUUAAUCGGGGCAGGGUGAGUCGACCCCUAAGGCGAGGCCGAAAGGCGUAGUCGAUGGGAAACAGGUUAAUAUUCCUGUACUUGGUGUUACUGCGAAGGGGGGACGGAGAAGGCUAUGUCGGCCGGGCGACGGUUGUCCCGGUUUAAGCGUGUAGGUGUGUGCUCCAGGCAAAUCCGGUGCACUUUAACACUGAGGCGUGAUGACGAGGCACUACGGUGCUGAAGUGACAAAUGCCCUGCUUCCAGGAAAAGCCUCUAAGCAUCAGGUAACAUCAAAUCGUACCCCAAACCGACACAGGUGGUCAGGUAGAGAAUACCAAGGCGCUUGAGAGAACUCGGGUGAAGGAACUAGGCAAAAUGGUGCCGUAACUUCGGGAGAAGGCACGCUGAUAUGUAGGUGAAGUGAUUUACUCAUGGAGCUGAAAUCAGUCGAAGAUACCAGCUGGCUGCAACUGUUUAUUAAAAACACAGCACUGUGCAAACACGAAAGUGGACGUAUACGGUGUGACGCCUGCCCGGUGCCGGAAGGUUAAUUGAUGGGGUUAUCCCUCGGGAGAAGCUCUUGAUCGAAGCCCCGGUAAACGGCGGCCGUAACUAUAACGGUCCUAAGGUAGCGAAAUUCCUUGUCGGGUAAGUUCCGACCUGCACGAAUGGCGUAAUGAUGGCCAGGCUGUCUCCACCCGAGACUCAGUGAAAUUGAACUCGCUGUGAAGAUGCAGUGUACCCGCGGCAAGACGGAAAGACCCCGUGAACCUUUACUAUAGCUUGACACUGAACACUGGUCCUUGAUGUGUAGGAUAGGUGGGAGGCUUUGAAGUGUGGACGCCAGUCUGCAUGGAGCCGCCCUUGAAAUACCACCCUUUAAUGGCUGGUGUUCUAACGUGGGCCCGUGAUCCGGGUUGCGGACAGUGUCUGGUGGGUAGUUUGACUGGGGCGGUCUCCUCCUAAAGAGUAACGGAGGAGCACGAAGGUCAGCUAAUCCUGGUCGGACAUCAGGAGGUUAGUGCAAUGGCAUAAGCUGGCUUGACUGCGAGCGUGACGGCGCGAGCAGGUGCGAAAGCAGGUCAUAGUGAUCCGGUGGUUCUGAAUGGAAGGGCCAUCGCUCAACGGAUAAAAGGUACUCCGGGGAUAACAGGCUGAUACCGCCCAAGAGUUCAUAUCGACGGCGGUGUUUGGCACCUCGAUGUCGGCUCAUCACAUCCUGGGGCUGAAGUAGGUCCCAAGGGUAUGGCUGUUCGCCAUUUAAAGUGGUACGCGAGCUGGGUUUAGAACGUCGUGAGACAGUUCGGUCCCUAUCUGCCGUGGGCGCUGGAGAACUGAGGGGGGCUGCUCCUAGUACGAGAGGACCGGAGUGGACGCAUCACUGGUGUUCGGGUUGUCAUGCCAAUGGCACUGCCCGGUAGCUAAAUGCGGAAGAGAUAAGUGCUGAAAGCAUCUAAGCACGAAACUUGCCCCGAGAUGAGUUCUCCCUGACUCCUUGAGAGUCCUGAAGGAACGUUGAAGACGACGACGUUGAUAGGCCGGGUGUGUAAGCGCAGCGAUGCGUUGAGCUAACCGGUACUAAUGAACCGUGAGGCUUAACCUU